rnacentral:misc_RNA from 1 species
UUAAAAAAAAAAAAAAAACAGUUAAAUAGUGCUAAACACAAACCCAAAUGCAGCGAUUUCUAAAAAGCUGUGUUAUCCAAAGAAGCUUCGUCAACGUUUGAACAAUGAAGAGAACAGCUUUGCGUAUCUGCUGAGUAGUGGGUCAAAGCAAAAGGAAUGAAGAAGAAGGAGGUUGGAUCAAGGAAAUGGAAUCUCUCUCGUGCGGCUAGGGCACAAAAUAGAAGAGGAAACGCUAUUUAGGAAUUGGUGAAAAUGU